CGGCCAUAGGGUACAGUGAUGCGUGUCGCGGCCUUCGGGCCGUUGAACAGAACGGGGCUUACUCUGGCG
rnacentral:RNase_MRP_RNA from 13 species